rnacentral:rRNA from 1 species
UUGCAUAUCAAUAAGCGGAGGAAAAGAAACCAACAGGGAUUGCUCUAGUAACGGCGAGUGAAGCAGCAAUAGCUCAAAUUUGAAAUCUGGCGCCUUCGGCGUCCGAGUUGUAAUUUGUAGAGGAUGCUUCUGGGCAGCCACCGACCUAAGUUCCUUGGAACAGGACGUCAUAGAGGGUGAGAAUCCCGUAUGCGGUCGGAAAGGCACCCUACACGUAGCUCCUUCGACGAGUCKAGUUGUUUGGGAAUGCAGCUCUAAAUGGGAGGUAAAUUUCUUCUAAAGCUAAAUAUUGGCCAGAGACCGAUAGCGCACAAGUAGAGUGAUCGAAAGAUGAAAAGCACUUUGGAAAGAGAGUUAAAAAGCACGUGAAAUUGUUGAAAGGGAAGGGAUUGCAACCAGACUUGCUCGCGGUGUUCCGCCGGUCUUCUGACCGGUCUACUCGCCGCGUUGCAGGCCAGCAUCGUCUGGUGCCGCUGGAUAAGACUUGAGGAAUGUAGCUCCCUCGGGAGUGUUAUAGCCUCUUGUGAUGCAGCGAGCGCCGGGCGAGUCCG